CCCCUUGAGUCCAUCACUGAAGACUGGAACUCACAAACCUGUGCUCCCCUGUUUUUUUUUUUUAGGGGAACAGUAAUUGCUACCUGGAAGUGGGAUUCAGCUGUAACAAAAUCCUAAACCCUAAAAUGCAGAAGUAACUUUGGAACUGGACAGUGGAUUUGGGGGAGAGUGUUAGUGAAAGCCUAAACUUGAAGAAACCGUUAAUA
rnacentral:lncRNA from 1 species